GAUGAACGCUGGCGGCGUGCCUAAUACAUGCAAGUCGAGCGAACAGACGAGGAGCUUGCUCCUCUGACGUUAGCGGCGGACGGGUGAGUAACACGUGGAUAACCUACCUAUAAGACUGGGAUAACUUCGGGAAACCGGAGCUAAUACCGGAUAAUAUAUUGAACCGCAUGGUUCAAUAGUGAAAGACGGUUUUGCUGUCACUUAUAGAUGGAUCCGCGCCGCAUUAGCUAGUUGGUAAGGUAACGGCUUACCAAGGCAACGAUGCGUAGCCGACCUGAGAGGGUGACCCGCCACACUGGGACUGAGACACGGUCCAGACUCCUACGGGAGGCAGCAGUAGGGAAUUUUCCGGAAUGGGCGAAAGCCUGACGGAGCAACGCCGCGUGGGGGAUGAAGGUCUUCGGAUCGUAAAACUCUGUUAUUAGGGAAGAAAAAAUGUGUAAGUAACUAUGCACGUCUUGACGGUACCUAAUCAGAAAGCCACGGCUAAAUACGUG
rnacentral:rRNA from 1 species